rnacentral:tRNA from 1 species
GGAGAGAUGGCUCAGUGGGUAAAAGUACUUGCUUUGUAAGCAUGAGGACCUGGGUUCGAGUGCCCAGCACCA